UUCUUAUUAUUUGCCAUCUUGUCCGUGGGGCUUGAAUAAGAAAGAAGACAACAUUUCUUACAGAAAUUACAUUUAAAAGUUACAUUACAGUAAAGCAAGUAACAGCUUUUUCAGAGAAAACAACUCAUCUGGAAUUUUCAAUAUAAAGAUAAAAUCUUCUUGGAUAGUAUAAAUGGCUCUAUGGACUCACAGCAGAUUGCAUCUACCACCACCUUUUCUCCUGAACAACAGACCACAAAUAAUAUACUGUCCAGGGAAAUGCUGAGAAAUGCUGACAGCUGCAGCUGUGGGUCUUAGCCAACAUAUAUUGACAACAGCCUAGAGAGUAUGUGUGAGACUGGAUAUUGAGGAUGCUGGAUUAAACGGGAUGAAAUACAAAGUUGGAUAAGGGAGAGUUUAUCCAUAUAAGAGCACUCUUCCAUGAUAUAGCAUUUAACAUCCUGGCAAGGACUCAGAGAGAUAAUACUAAUAUGUUACUUGGAUGUUUUUCAGACACUUGGAAAAAUCAAUGGCCCAUACACAGUGAAACACAAAUGCUGACUACCACGGCAGAACAAGGUGGUGGGGGUUGGAAAUCAAAAAAUUCAGAGAAGUGUGAAUGCUAAAGUGGAUAUAUCAUGUAAGGUCAGAAGCUCACAAGCUAACUGACUGACUAAAGAAGAGGUCAGGUGCCACGUGAGGAAGAUCUUGCUAUCCCAUAGCAAGUCUGUAUAGUAAUAACUCUUUUUUCUUUAUUUGCUGCUUUUGAGAUGUUAUCAGUUUAACAUGCCAAAAAACAUGCUAAAAGCAUGAUGUUCAAUAAAACCAAGACCAGGAUGAAGGAAAUACACAGACAAGACAUUGCAAACAGAACAGUGCAUUUGAAACCAACAAAUGUGCUUCCUCUGCUGCCUGGAGUAGAGGGGUCAGGCAGGUGGGAGGGCAGGGGUGUGUAUAGGAGCUCCCCCUCCACAGGC
rnacentral:lncRNA from 1 species